AUGGACUGAGCAUCACAUGAGAACCUAGUGGAAAGGGAUUAAGGAGGGUGGGAGAGUACAAGGAAGGAAAGAGAAAAAGGGAAAAUAGCAUUAAAGUGCCAGACCUUUCUCAUCCUUUACCUGCAAUACACAAUGCCAGGCAUCAGUGGAAAUUUUGCAGGAGUUCAGUCCUAAUUAACUCAAAGUGAUAAGUAUCUAUAAAGAUAAUUUUCCAGUCAAGAGACUGGAAAAGUGUCAAGAGCGCUGGUGCGAGAGAGCCCUCGGUAUGAAUCUAGAUGGUGUAUCUUACAAGUUCAGGGUCUUUGGGCUAAUUCUUUAUUAACCUCUCAGUCUUGGAUUCUUUAGCCUUCCCUUAGGAUUAGAAUCAUAAUAAGAUAACAUAGUAAUAUAAACAUAUUAUUUAGUAUCUAUGCAUAAUAUAAUAUAAACAUGAAAUGAUAACAUAAAUAAAGCAGAUAAGUGUCAGGCUCGUAGGUAUUCAAUAAGGCAACUGUGAUGAUUAUUGAGAAGAUUAGAUGUACCCUUACAUGGAGUAAGGACAUGACUCCUAACUUGCAAUUAACAUAUGAGUGAAGACAAAGAAAAGAAACUAGAAAAUAACAUAGACUAUUAGGAUGGCCUGACAAUCUCUGGUCAAAAAUGAGAGAAAUUUCUAACUCUAAUGGAUUUAGAACAACAGGGAGAAAAAAUGACUUGGGUUUUAUUUUGUGAAACAGAGGUUACCUAAAUAAUGACACAUUUACUUCUUUCAUUAUCUGUUCCCAAAUUCUAACACGAUCCAGUGUUUGAACCAAUCCAAAAGCUUAGCAGCUACCCGUCUGCCCCUGGGGUGCUGACUGGUGAGAGGGCACCCCCUGCUGCCCUUUCUGCAUCUCUCUACAGCCACACUCCUGAGGAUACAGCUGGAAGGAGGCCUCCUGUGGCACUGCCAUUCUAGCUCCACAAGGAAAAUGCUGUUUGAGGCUGGAAAGAUCCAGCCUGGGAAGAGUGCACACCGAGAAUUAUAGUCCCCCUUCCACCCCCGUGGUAUCCAGUAACUAAGAGGACAGUGCAUCAAGCCUGGGCACAGAGAAGGCUAUCAGCUCCGCAGAAUAUCCUAGUACAAUAAGCAGGUGGAGCACUGGAGGAUAAGGGUCACCUCCUCUGUGGGAAGAUAUGAGGGAAGGACUCAAACAGCCCUCAGGUGGGUAGAGGAGAGCCGAAGGCCGUCCACUCCCUGUAUUGGUUGACAAAGACUGAGGAUGACUGGUCCCUGAGUCACUGACCAAGAAAAAGAGGGGAAGACAAGAAGUAGAGGAGAAAAAUGCUGCAAUGCAGGGGAAAGAAAAACAUCUGGAAGAUUCUGAAAAAGACACGUGUCUGAAUGUGACUUAACUCAAAAUGCAAGGGGAAAUUCAGAAAACUGUUGUUUUCAAUAAAGAAUAAAAAGAAAUAGGCUUAUGAAAUAAUAGCAUGAAGGAAAGAACAGGUUAUCAGAGAACAUGGAGGCAGGCAAAGCUCUUGUUUUGUUUGGUCUUUAUUGCCAGUGCUUAGCACGAUGGCAGGCACAUAGCAAUCUCAUAAUAAAUAAAAAUGACAUUCAUUUAAUGUUAACUGCAUUUAUCUCUGGGUGGUAAAAUUAACAGGGAAAUUCAUUUUCUUCCCAUUGUUUUACUGCAUUGUUUAAAAAUCUCUGCAACAAACAUGCCAUGCUUUGGGAAAAAAGGAGAAAAAUACAUGUGAAUUAUGUGACUUUCUCACUCCUGUUAUCCACGGUUAACAGGGAUGCUGGAUAACAUCCCAGGAAAAUAACUCAAAUAGCGCCAAGAUUAGGGUGCCAACAUAUCGUCAGGCACAUCUGGUAAACUGGGCAGGAAUAACCCAGUGGAAUGAAGUUUCAAAAAAGAUUGUGGAUCCUUAUGGAGAAUCUAGACUGAGGGAAGAAGAAAUGUGCUGUAAUGAGCCAGGCUGAGCAACAGGGCCUGACUUUAGAGAGGAGACAUAGCACAGUGUGGUAGGUGUUACCAGCAGCAUCCCGACAUCUUACACCAACACCUCCUGCUCUGGGACCUCCCGAGGACAUUAGGAGAACCUGCAGUAGGACCCCUGCCCUCAUAGUGACCGUAUAGCUGCAUCCAUAGCAGCUGCCCCUUGGGUGUCGAUUUGUGAGGGAGCAAAGGGAUAAAGAUGCUACGUAGAGCAGUCAGCCAGAGAUUAGGCCAGUCCAAGAAAGUGGCAGGCAAGGAGUGGGGAGGCACUGGGCCAUGAAGGUGGUCAGAGGGAAAGCCGAGCAGCCUAGAGGCAAGGCGUGGGAUGUGAGUUUUGUUGAGAGCAACAAGCAGCAGCUCUGAGGCAAGUAUUGUGGAGUCCACAUCCCAAGCAGGGACCACCCAGCCUCAGAGGCAGUGGCCUCAGCGGAGCAGAAAUUCCCGUCGUGGUGCAGAGGUUGGUGAAUCCGACUGGGAACCAUGAGGUUGCGGGUUUGGUUCCUGGCCUUGCUCAGUGGGUUAAGGAUCCGGCGUUGCCGUGAGCUGUGGUGUAGGUCGCAGACGCAGCUCGGAUCUGGCGUUGCUGUGGCUCUGGCGUAGGCCGGCGUCUACAGCUCUGAUUCGACCCCUAGCCUGGGAACCUCCAUAUGCUGCGAGAGCAGCCGAAGAAAUGGCAAAAAGAC
rnacentral:lncRNA from 1 species